rnacentral:misc_RNA from 1 species
GCCCAUUUUCUCUGGGUUGGAGAACGUACUAGACAACUAGAUGGUGCUCAUGUUGAGUUUUUAAGAGGAGUUGCAAAUCCCCUUGGCAUUAAGGUAAGUGACAAGAUGAAUCCAACUGAGCUAGUUAAGCUCAUCGAGCUUCUGAAUCCUCAGAACAAACCAGGGAGAAUAACAAUUAUCACAAGAAUGGGAGCUGAGAACAUGAGGGUGAAACUUCCCCAUCUAAUUAGAGCAGUCCGCCUGGCUGGGCAAAUUGUCACAUGGGUCAGUG